rnacentral:lncRNA from 1 species
UAUAUAUGUAUAUAUAUAUAAAGAUUAUAUAAGAUAUAUAUGUAUAUGUAUAUAAAUGCAAAUACAGGUCAUCGAAUUGACGCAAUUCUCGAUAUAUUCGCGAGACAAAGUAAUCGGAAACGGUCUAUUUCUCUUGAGUUCGUUUUCGUGCGCAAGUGCUUUCCAUAUCUAACCUUUGUAUAUAUACGUAUAUAUACAUAUAUACACACAUAAUACCAAAUGCUUCUUGAUCUUUUUGUUCGGCAUUUUUCGCAUGUAUCUCGUAUCCGAUCACCGAUUAUUCCGAUCCUCUCAGGAUUUUAUGUUCGUUCUGUUAUAUCUUUUCUAACUCGAGCUUUUCUCGAUAUUUUUGCGCAUUGUUGUUCCUCGCGUCUCCCUGUUACUUUACUAACCUCUACGCUCCCUGUUUGCUUCGAUCUCCCUUUUUCUUUUUUCCUUUUCUCUCUCUCUCUCUCUCUCUCUCUCUCUCUCUCUCUCUCUCUCUCUAUCCAUGAGUCGAGAUGCGCUGCAGUCGACUUCCACUUGGUCGAGCGUGAUCGAAAUUGAUCUACGCGGUACAAAAGAGUGUAUCGACGGUCGGGACACUUCGGUCGGGCCGAUAGCAAAAGAGUUAAUUAUAAAGAGCCGAGCAUCAAAAUCCGAUACGUUGUCCAUCGUUGUUACUAACGGCGAUGACCAAUGAAGCCUCAGUGCGCGUUCGCUCGAUCGCGAACUGAACGUCGACCGGUUUAUCGGACAUGGAUGAGAAAUACACAUCAUAAUUUUUCUGUAUCGAAAUGUAUUGAACAAUUUACCUCGGAACUCUCGCUCGGAUAAUCGCUUGGCAACGAAUGGUCGAUCAUCAAGUUCGCAUCGCUACCGGUAGUGGAUGGAGACACAUGUAUGAGCAACCGAGGCCGAGCAAUAGCAACGAGAGAAAGAGAAUGGCGCAGAUGAUGAGCAUAAUUUGAAAUCCUGUUAAUGGCGGUUCGGGCAAUGGAGCUGGUGCUGGAGUGGCCAAACUGUUGGAAAAGAAAAACAUCCAGCCUUAAGAGAUCUAAUUUUCAAGAAGCAUAAAGGAUCCAUUUAUUAAUAAAAUUGGAUAAGAAAUUUAGUGGAACGGCAAUAAUUCAUCAAGAGGCAAAAAAAGAAAAAGUCUUGAGGAAAAAGAACGAGUGAAGGAUGAUCUUGCUUAUGAAGCAGCAAAACUUUGUCAAUAAUUAAUACUUUCUUUGGUAAAUGGAAUAAUCGAUAUUUUAGAAAUAAAAUUUUAUACUUUUAAUA